UUCAGUUUGUCAAAAGAGAAGGUUGUUGAAAAACAUAAAAAAAGUAAUGGAUUGCAUGAAAGAGCGCUCACUCAUUGGAAUAGGUUGAGACAAAUUUCAUAUUUAUGUUGUUAGCAAUUAUUGAGCCAUGAUUAUGGGUUGUGGUGAUUACGUGGAUUGUAUUUAACCCAUUAAUGAAAAUCAUAUCACUAAAGAACAUAAUUGAAAGAAUAGAUCAGAUUGAAAUUGUAAUAAGCUCAAUUUGCCCAGCCCGUUACAAACCAAAAAACAAUAAUAAAGCUAAAUAAAAUAUAAAGUCCAAUUUUUAAAUAGUCCAUCAUCAAAGUCCAAAUUACAAGACAUUACAAACCUAAACCCAAACCCAAAUUUAAAACCCAUUACAUUAAUACCAAUUACAGCCCAAAAUUACAUCGACCCAAAUAGCCCAAAAUACUUUAGAAACAGAAACCCUAGGGUUUCUACCUCUAGCGCCGCAGCUAGGUUCCAGCCCACAGCGCCGUACGGCCUCCUGGCACCACAGCCACGCCCACGCCUCUGUACGCCAAUGCACAGCCCCCGUACAUGCGCCACGCACACCCCGUACCUGCAAGCAAAUACAAAAACCACAGCACAACAAAGAGGGAAAAACAAAAAAAGGAAAGUGUAUUUUUCUUUUCAUUUUUUUGUUUCGGCUAUAAAAGCCAUGUAGUGAUUAAUGUAAUUUUUUUUUACACACACUAAUACGCAGAUUAAAUAGAAAAUUCGAAAGCAAUUUUUCCAAAAGGUGAUCUCGAGUUUUUUUUUCUGUUUCUUUUCCUUUUGAAUCUAUUUUUGCCUUUUUUUAGAGUUUGCAUGUGGUUUUCUGUAUAAGGAAUUAAAAGAAGGAAAGCAUAUCUUCAAACGAGCCAUCGGAGGCCAUAUCUUCUUCGUUGAAAUCGAAGCUUGAGAUAGGUUUUCGAGGCUAAAAAAUCUGACCUUCUGAGGCGAGGUUUAAAAUAGGGAUAUGGAAUGAUUUCAUUGCGAGCUAUCAUCCAUCGAUUUCAAUGGUGGAAUGGUGGCAAUUGAAGGGUCAAAAGGGGAGGGAAAAGCCUCAAAGUCUGUUGCGCCGAAACCCUAAUAAUUGGGUCUUCGGUUUAUGACUCAGAGGAAUGGCAAUUUGCCAUUCAAUGGCUUUUAAUUUUGGGAAUAAAACGAAACGGUGCCAUUUUAAGGGAAAGGGUUCGUGAGUCAAGCCGUUCCAGGACCCGAAUCAGCGCCUUUGCGCUUCAAAUGGGUUAUUCGCGUAGCAGGUCCUCCCCUUUCGCAUGUGCAUUCAAUCGCACCUUAUCUGCUUUGCUUUGUUUUUUUUAAAUUAGCUCUUUAAUUUGUGCGUAUUUGCAUUUUAGUCCAUUAAUGAAAAUCAUAUCACUAAAGAAACAUAUUUGAAAGAUUGGAUCAAAUUGAAACAUUGUAUUCUUAGUUGGCAAGAGCUCAUGUUUACACUUAGCAAUUAGCAAGUCUUGAAAUAUUCCAUAGAAUUGUGAGAAUUUUAUAAAUUAUUGUAUUGAAAAUUUAAUUUAUAUCAUAACUGAGAGAUAU
rnacentral:lncRNA from 1 species